CCGUGAGGGAAAGUUGAAAAGAACUUUGAAGAGAGAGUUCAAGAGUACGUGAAACCGUUCAGGGGUAAACCUGAGAAACCCAAAAGAUCGAAUGGGGAGAUUCAUCGCCAGCGGCGUUUGCUUCCGUGUGGUUUGGCGAUGAUGCGGGACUUCGGUUCAGCGUCACGCUGCCACUGCGGCAUGUCAGGCGUCGUCGGUGUGCACUUCUCCCCUAGUAGGACGUCGCGACCCGUUGGGUGCAGGCCUACGGCCCGUACGGUCGACUGCUGCGUCGCGUUCACGCGCGUUUACGUGGCAGACCUGCGGUGUUCCCGGCCUGCUGCCCGGCGGUAUGGAACGCUUAAAUUGGUAUCGAGCCGCACAUUGCGUGCGUUCUGGCUCCACGGCAGGCUCGUCCCGCCCGGAUUUACGGACCUAGCGCCGUUGCCGGGUGCUCGACGUG
rnacentral:rRNA from 1 species